CCUACGGGUGACAGCAGUGAGGAAUAUUGGUCAAUGGACGAGAGUCUGAACCAGCCAAGUAGCGUGAAGGAUGACUGCCCUAUGGGUUGUAAACUUCUUUUAUAUGGGAAUAAAACGUUCCACGUGUGGGAUUUUGUAUGUACCAUAUGAAUAAGGAUCGGCUAACUCCGUGCCAGCAGCCGCGGUAAUACGGAGGAUCCGAGCGUUAUCCGGAUUUAUUGGGUUUAAAGGGAGCGUAGGUGGAUUGUUAAGUCAGUUGUGAAAGUUUGCGGCUCAACCGUAAAAUUGCAGUUGAAACUGGCAGUCUUGAGUACAGUAGAGGUAGGCGGAAUGCGUGGUGUAGCGGUGAAAUGCUUAGAUAUCACGAAGAACUCCGAUUGCGAAGGCAGUUCACUGGACUGCAACUGACACUGAGGCUCGAAAGUGUGGGUAUCAAACAGGAUUAGAUACCCCAGUAGUC
rnacentral:rRNA from 1 species